CCACUGUGUGAGGCCUUUGUGGCUGUCACCUCGUCAGCCCUCCCAGGAGGACCAGCUCCCUCACUCUAUGAUGAGGGAGCGGAGGCUCUGGGAGAGGAUGUCACUUCCCAGGCCACACAGCUCCUCGGGGCGGAGCUGAGAUCGGAAUCCUCUUGUACUGCACCCAGAUCCUGGGCCGACCCCUGCUUCAUGGCCUCUGGUGCGGAAAGCCAGGGUCCUGGUACAGCCAGACCCGAAUACGGUGCCAGGACCCAGGGGACGUCCCAUCCAUGGCCAGAUGUCCCAAGGAGGCGGCCAGAGCCUCAGGAGCCUCCCCUGACUGAACCUGAGGCCCCAUGGGUGGGAUGGACACAGUCCCCUCCACGUCCUCCUCAGGAGGGACCCUCUGUCCCCAUCAACAGCGUCAUGCUCCGAGGAUCAGCUCCCCGUCUGUGCAGGGUGGAUGUGGGAAGUCACCGAGAUCCUACUAUCCCCCGAAACUGCCCAGCGACCACACGAUCUGGAAAUAAAACCCGCGUUUGCAUACAGUAGGUGCUCAUAAAUGCCGGCUUUCUUCCGCUCUC